GGCGACUCAACAUCACCCUGGGCCGGCGACUCAACAUCACCCUGGGCCGGCGCCUCAGGGCUCGUGCAUCAACGGCUCACCUCAGCAUUGCCCUGGGCUGUCGCACCUCAACACCACGGCUCAACAUCACAACUCGGCAUCACAAUGGGCCAUCGCCUCAGCAUCGCACUGGGCUGUCGCCCCAACUUUAACGCCAGUCACCUGGUUGUAUCGGUAUCCUCAUCCAUCCUGCAUGACAAACUUAUCGCAGCUACCCACUGGUAGCGAGUAGGAGUUUAUGUCUAUUUUGAUAUGCCGUUUUUGUUCUGGUGCCGUUAUUCAGUGAUGUUUCAGCUUUCUGCUCUGUCCCUCUCAGGUCUCGAUAACCGGCUCUCCAACUCUCCUCUGUCGUAAGCUCGCACUUUCUGCAUUCUCCUGACUAAGGUGCCACCCUUUUUUAUUGCUAGUCUAAUCAUGCAGUUACCGCAAGUUGUUUCUCUCAACCAACCAGGGCAUCCGCCCCACUGCCUGUGUCCAUGCCUGCUUUGCACAAGCAUUCACCGCGCCACACCGCGUAGGUGUUUAUCAUAACUGACAUGGUGUUAUUAUUCUUGGUCGAGAUGUUUUCUUGGUGUUUCAUUCAUUGUUUGUUUCAGCUACAAGCUCUGCUCUCUCCCUCUCUUAGGUCAUGAUUACCAGUUGUCUGCCGAUUCUCCUCUGUUUUAACCUGACCUUUCUGCUAUCCUGGCCGAGGUGCUCGUCUUUUAAUGUUAGCCACUCAUGCUUUGUCUAAAGCUGUCUCUCUCACCACUCUGGGCAGACGCCCGCAUAGUGCAGGCUUUCAGCCGCUGGUCCGACGCAGUGCAUCUUGCAUUCGGCUCAUUCCUCGCUUUGUCAUCUGGCUCAGUGUACUGUUUCUGUUCUGUUAACUCUGUUUCGUUCUUCUCGUUCCUCGCCCAAGAGGUAUACAGCACGCUCGUUCAGAAUCGGCGUGGCCACCACGGCCGCUAAGCGGGGUCUGUCCCCUACUGCGAUCAAGGCGCUGGGCCGUUGGUCGUCUGGCGCAUACGCUUCCUGCAUUUGCCUCACUCCUCAUCACGUCGUUGAAGCAUGCUAUAUCUGGUCACGAUUCCGGCUCUCUACCUACUGUCAUAAUCUAAGUUUUCAGCGCUCUCCUGACCAAGGUGCAUCUAUCAAUCAAAUCAUAACGCUCUGCUGUGUCUCUGCUCUCAGCGCAUCCGCGCCAUGUCUUCUCGCAUAGCCUAAGAUGGUGUCUCCUUGUAAGCGGUAGGUGAGUUCACUUCUAAUCUCUAUUUUGGGGCAGGCUACGCCCGCCUCCAUCUCCGCUGGAGGAUAUGCUGUCCUAUCCCGGAGUUCAACGCGAAGACGGGAACCUUCGCCAAACUGAUUCAUGCAUUUUAUCAAGUGUUAUUGUUCGCCAAACUUUUAUGCAUUCCUGUAUCAUGUCUAAUGUUCAAUAAAUGUUAAUAACGUUCGUUUGCCUCUCGAGUCUUCAUGGUAGAAAUGGGAGCUUGCGUAAAUUCUACCAGGGAGACUCGAAUUUCUCGGCUGUCAAACUUAGCCUACUAGGCCAACCAACAAAUCUUCCUUUUGACAGAUCAUACAUGCGUCAUCAUUGCCCAGGAUCGCCAACCAAUCACAACGCGAGAUUGGGGGUUCCCCCGUUACGCGUCACUCAUGCAUCGUUACCUCUCAGCCAAUG